UUUCCUGGAAGAAAGAAAUGCUGGAAAUGGGUUAAAAACACUCAAAAGUGGCGUUUGGGGAGGAGGAGGGACUGAAAGCAGGGGGUUGCUUGUGAAAAAGCACUGAAAGCGGGUCGAAAUGGCUCUAAAAAAGUGGCAGAACUUGGGGGAAAAAUGAGUGAAAAUGGGGGCAUUUAUUGGGGAAAUCGUGCUGGAAAAAGGAAAAAUUGCUCAAAGGGGGGCAUUUAUUGUGUAAAAAAUGGCUGAAAAUGGGGCUUUUCUUGGGGAAAAAGCUGCUGAAAAUGGGUCAAAAUGCUCUAAAAAAGGGCAUUUCUUGGGGAAAAAAUGCAGAAAUCACAUGAAAAUGCUCCAAAGAGGGCAUUUAUUGGGGAAAAAUGGCUGAAAAUUGGGCUUUUUGUGGGGAAAACUUGCUGAAAAUGGGUCAAAAUGCUCUAAAAAAAAGGGCAUUUCUUGGGGAAAAAUGCAGGAAAUCACAUGAAAAUGCUCUAAAGGGGGCAUUUGUUGGGUAAAAAUGGCUGAAAAUGGGAUUUUUUCUUGGGGAAAUCGUGCUGGAAACAGGAAAAUAUGCUCAAAAGGGGGGCAUUUAUUGGGAAAAAUGGCUGAAAAUGGGGCGUUUCUUGGGGAAAAGCUGCUGAAAAUGGGUCAAAAUGCUCUAAAAAAGGGCAUUUCUUGGGGAAAAAUGCAGAAAUCACAUGAAAAUGCUCCAAAGAGGGCAUUUAUUGGGGAAAAUGGCUGAAAAUGGGGCUUUUUGUGGGGAAAACUUGCUGAAAAUGGGUCAGAUGCUCAAAAGGGGAAUUUCUUGGGGAAGACUUGCUGAAAAUGGGGCUUUUCUUGGGGAAAAGCUGCUGAAAAUGGGUCAAAAUGCUCUAAAAAAGGGCAUUUCUUGGGGAAAAAUGCAGAGCUCACAUGAAAAUGCUCCAAAAGGGGGCAUUUAUUGGUUAAAAAUGGCUGAAAAUGGGGCGUUUUGUGGGGAAAAGCUGCUGGAAGUGGGUUGUUGUGAGGAAAUGCUCCUCGUGGCUGGGAUCUGGGGGGGAAACGAAGACUUGUCGUUCAAGCAGGAGUAGAAAUGUGCUGGAAAUGGGGCCAAUCAGCAAGAAAAUGGUAAAAACAACAACAACAACAACAAAAAGCUGGUCAGAUGUGCCAGGAAAUGCAGAUUUGAGUUGGUCCUAUGGGUCCCCACCAGCACCAGGCUCAAGAGAUUCUGAGGGGACCUUGAAGACCCCAAGAGAUUCAAGGAGACCUUGGAGGCCCCAAAAUACUCAAGGAGACACCAUGGAGACCCCAAAUGAUGCUCAAGGGGACUCUGAUGAGCCCAUGGGGACCCCAAGAAUCUGAAGGAGACCCCAAGGAUCCUACAGAAACCCCAAGAGGCUCAAGAGAUUCUGAGGAGACCUUGAAGACCCCAAGAGAUUCAAGGAGAUCUUGGAGGUCCCAAGGUGCUCAAGGAGACCCCAUGGACACCACAGGGACCCCAAGAUGCUCAAAGAGACCCCAGAGGACACAAAGAGACCCCAGGAUGCUCGAAGAGAUUCUGAGGAGCCCGUGAAGACCCCAAGAGAUUGAAGGAGACCUUGAAGGCCUCAAGAGAUUCAAGGAGACACCAUGGAGGCCUCGAACGAUGCUCAAGGGGACUCUGAUGAGCCCAUGGGGACCCCAAGAAUCUGAAGGAGACCCCAAGGAUCCUACAGAAAUCCCACAGUUUUCAGCUUUGGGGUGCGUUGAAUUGCCCACCCGGGGGCCGGGACCCCUCCGUUGGGUCUCAAAACCCCAUUUUAAGGCCCCUCGCAAGCUCAAACCUGA